rnacentral:rRNA from 1 species
AGCGGCGCACGGGUGAGUAACGCGUGGGUAAUCUACCCUUACCUGGGGGAUAACACACCGAAAGGUGUGCUAAUACCGCAUAAUCCGGCGGAUCUGCGGGUCUGCCGGCAAAGGUGGCCUCUUCAUGAAAGCUGCCGGGUGAAGAUGAGCCCGCGUCCCAUUAGCUUGUUGGUGGGGUAAUGGCCUACCAAGGCGACGAUGGGUAGCUGGUCUGAGAGGACGGCCAGCCACACUGGAACUGGAACACGGUCCAGACUCCUACGGGAGGCAGCAGUGAGGAAUAUUGCGCAAUGGGGGAAACCCUGACGCAGCGAUGCCGCGUGGGUGAAGAAGGCUUUCGGGUCGUAAAGCCCUGUCAGGUGGGAAGAAUAGCCUCUUAGUGAAUAGGUAAGAGGUGUGACGGUACCACCGAAGGAAGCACCGGCUAACUCCGUGCCAGCAGCCGCGGUAAGACGGAGGGUGCAAGCGUUAUUCGGAAUCAUUGGGCGUAAAGAGCGUGUAGGCGGUCGAUUAAGUCAGGUGUGAAAGCCCGGGGCUCAACCCCGGAAGGGCACUUGAAACUGAUCGGCUUGAGUCCGGGAGAGGGAAGCGGAAUUCCUGGUGUAGAGGUGAAAUUCGUAGAUAUCAGGAGGAACACCGGUGGCGAAGGCGGCUUCCUGGACCGAGACUGACGCUGAGACGCGAAAGCGUGGGGAGCAAA